GAUGAACGCUAGCGACAGGCCUAACACAUGCAAGUCGAGGGGCAGCACAUGAGUAGCAAUACGAUGGUGGCGACCGGCGCACGGGUGAGUAACACGUAUGCAACCUACCUUCUACCAGGGGAUAACCCGUUGAAAGACGGACUAGUACCCUAUAAUACAGGGGCUCCGCAUGGAGAUAUUUGUUAAAGAUUCAUCAGUAGAAGAUGGGCAUGCGCAUGAUUAGCUAGUUGGCGGGGUAACGGCCCACCAAGGCAUCGAUCAUUAGGGGUUCUGAGAGGAAGGUCCCCCACACUGGUACUGAGACACGGACCAGACUCCUACGGGAGGCAGCAGUGAGGAAUAUUGGUCAAUGGGCGAGAGCCUGAACCAGCCAAGUCGCGUGAAGGAAGACUGUCCUAUGGAUUGUAAACUUCUUUUGUACGGGAAUAAAGUGGGCUACGUGUAGCCUUUUGUAUGUACCGUACGAAUAAGGAUCGGCUAACUCCGUGCCAGCAGCCGCCGUAA
rnacentral:rRNA from 1 species